rnacentral:rRNA from 1 species
UAAUACGGAGGAUCCAAGCGUUAUCCGGAAUUAUUGGGUUUAAAGGGUCCGCAGGCUGUUUGUUAAGUCAGGGGUGAAAUCCUACCGCUCAACGGUAGAACUGCCUUUGAUACUGGCAAACUUGAGUUAUUGUGAAGUAGUUAGAAUGUGUAGUGUAGCGGUGAAAUGCAUAGAUAUUACACAGAAUACCAAUUGCGAAGGCAGAUUACUAACAAUUAACUGACGCUGAGGGACGAAAGCGUGGGUAGCGAACAGGAUUAGAUACCCUGGUAGUCCACGCCGUAAACGAUGGUCACUAGCUGUUCGAUGUACAUUGGUACAUUGAGUGGCUAAGCGAAAGUGAUAAGUGACCACCUGGGGAGUACGCUCGCAAGAGUG